AGUUUGAUCCUGGCUCAGGAUGAACGCUGGCGGCGUGCUUAACACAUGCAAGUCGAACGGGCUCAUAUUGAAACCUAGUGAUUUAUGAGUUAGUGGCGGACGGGUGAGUAACGCGUGGAAAACCUGCCGUAUACUGGGGGAUAACACUUAGAAAUAGGUGCUAAUACCGCAUAAGCGCACAGCUUCGCAUGAAGUGGUGUGAAAAACUCCGGUGGUAUACGAUGGUUCCGCGUCUGAUUAGCUUGUUGGCGGGGUAAUGGCUCACCAAGGCGACGAUCAGUAGCCGGCCUGAGAGGGUGAACGGCCACAUUGGGACUGAGACACGGCCCAAACUCCUACGGGAGGCAGCAGUGGGGAAUAUUGCACAAUGGGGGAAACCCUGAUGCAGCGACGCCGCGUGAGUGAAGAAGUAUUUCGGUAUGUAAAGCUCUAUCAGCAGGGAAGAAAUAGCGACCUUUGGGUCGCCAGACGGUACCUGAUUAAGAAGCCCCGGCUAACUACGUG
rnacentral:rRNA from 1 species